AUGUGUAUUAGAUUGACUAGCACACUGUUUAUCAUCUCCUACAUCUGUGGGUGUCAUUUGAGAAACUAUAUUGUUUUUUUCCAUCAGUUUAUUGUUCUUUUGUCCAUGAUUCGUGGUAUCAAUUUUAUAAUCAACCUGGUCUUCUUCGCCUUCUCCUUUCAAAUUUUCCACAUGUUUAUCAAUAUUAUUUUGUUUGUUCUCGUCGCAUUUGCCACUUUUGACACUCUUCUCUUCUACUUCCUUCUCCGCGUUUUCUCCAUUUUUUUCGUUUUCUCCAUUUUUUUCGUUUUCUCCAUUUUUUUCGUUUUCUCCACUUUUCUCGUUUUCUCCACUUUUCUCGUUUUUCUCGUUUUUCUCGUUUUUCUCGUUUUUCUCGUUUUUCUCGUUUUCCUGGCUUUCCUGGCUUUCCUCGUUUUCACCGAUUUUUUUUUUCUUUUUUUUUUUUUUUUUGUUUUUGUUGUUGUUGUUGUUGUUGUUGUUGUUGUUUUUGUUGUUGUUGUUGUUGUUGUUGUUGUUGUUGUUGUUGUUGUUGUUGUUGUUGUUGUUGUUGUUGUUGUUGUUGUUGUUGUUUUUGUUGUUGUUGUUGUUGUUGUUGUUGUUGCUGUUGUUGUUGUUGUUGUUGCUGUGUUUGUUGCUGUUGUUGAUACUCUAGCGUAUCCUCUUCAUCCAAUUUAGUUGCAUCACUUACGUUGUUAUUCACAUUAGUAGCAUUAACAUUUUUGAAAGAAUCUAGUAAUAUAUUGUUCAUGUUCGCUUCUCGUAUAUUUUCACCUACGUUUAAUAAGUUAUUAUAAUUAUUUAGUUCUUUAUUCAUAUUCAAACUACUAUUAAGCAUAUUUAUAUUUCUUUUAAUAUUCUUAAUUUCAUUGGUGUUAUUAUUGUAUGAUUUGUUUGUAGAAUAUAAUUGAUUUUUUGUGUUACUCAUAUUAUUUAAAUGCUCAUUAAUUAUCAUUUUCAUAUUGUUUAUGCUGUUAUUCAUGUUGUUACUUACGUUGUUACUCACGUUGUUACUCACGUUGUUACUCACGUUGUUACUCACGUUGUUACUCACGUUGUUACUCACGUUGUUACUCACGUUGUUACUUACGUUGUUACUUACGUUGUUACUUACGUUGUUAUUUACGUUGCUGUUCAUGUUGCUGUUCAUAUUGUUAUUAUAAGGAUAAUUGUUCAUUUUCAUAUUAUUGCUCUUUGUGUUAUCAUUCAACGUUUUGUUUUUAUAAUAAUUAUUAUCACUUCGGUUUAACGGAUUUAGAUUGUUUAUAUUUGUUGCUAAAGGUUGACCUGCUACAUUUGCAACAGCAUUUGAAGAAGUGUUGUUUAAAAUGUUAUUGAUAUAGUAAAGUAAAUUAUCGUUAUUCGUACUGUUUAUCUGUGAAUUGUUACCAGACAUUGUACCAAUUUUAGUUAUACCCACUGGAUUAUCGAUACACUCGGUAUCAUUAAUGUGAGUAUUGCUGAUUUGCUUGUCGAUGGUAGCAUGAAGAUUAUUGUUAUUUUCAUUACCAUUAAUUUUGUUGUUAGUUAUGUUUGCAUUGUUAUUUAAACUGUUAUUAAUCGUAUGGUUAAAUGAGUUGUUGUUACUAUUGCUACCAGUAAUACUAGUAGUACCAGAAGUACUAAUCGGAUUAUUCAUUUCUCUAGUCAUAAUUUUCAUAUUUGCAUGCAUAUGUUC
ensembl:lncRNA